rnacentral:siRNA from 1 species
UUGGUUCUGUGUUGGGACU